UCUUGUACAACGUGCCACGAGCAACUCCCUUUGCACUCACCAAUGAUCCCUUGGUGAGUCUCCACUAUUGAUUUGAAAAAUAGUUCUCGUAUCCAUCUCGGUCCAAAGCAAUUCCCGAGAUCAAGUUUAUCCGCAAAUCAGGUACAUGCCGCACAUCCUUUAGAACCAAUGUGCAUCCGACAUUUGUCUUGUUACAAAUGUCACCAAUCCCCGCAAUCUUUGAGUAACUCGUGUUACCUAUUCUCACGGUGCCGAAAUCACCUGCUACAUAUCUACAAAAAAGAUCUCUUACCGGUGUGUGACAUUUUUCUUGAUACAAAUGUCACAAAUCCCCGCAAUCCUUGAGUGACUCGUAUUACCCAUUCUCACGGUGCCGAAAUCACCUGCUACAUAUCUACAAAAAAAGAUCUCUUACCGGUGUGACAUGGUAAGAUGCCGCUGUGUCAACCACUCAUUCCGACUCUGGACCUGACAGGUGCAUGCAUUUCUCAUCAUCAUUUAUAAAGAGGACAACAUUGUCAUUGUUUUGCACCAUGGCAGCUGUGUUGUCGUCAUUCUUCUGGUCACUAGUUUCAUCUUUGCCCUUCCUUGAAUUUGGGAAAUCUCUUUUGAAGUGGCCUGGUUGAUCACAGUUGUAGAAAUUUCUAGCUUUUGAUUUGGAUCGAUUUUUUGACUUUCCACGAGCUCCGGAUCUACCAUAGUUGCUCGAACUCCUUUGAUAACUCCUGCCUCUACCUUCUGCGCAUUCUUUGACUUUUCACGAGCUCCGGAUUUACCAUAGUUGCUCGAACUCGUUUGAUAACUCCCGCCUCUACAUUGUGUGAUAAGAGUCUGUCCUUGAUUUUCAGGCUUCUUUCUCAAUCUUCUCAUUGA
rnacentral:lncRNA from 1 species